rnacentral:rRNA from 1 species
AUGGUUAGCGGCGGACGGGUGAGUAACACGUAGGCAACCUGCCCUCAAGUUUGGGACAACUACCGGAAACGGUAGCUAAUACCGAAUAGUUGUUUUCUUCGCCUGAAGGAAACUGGAAAGACGGAGCAAUCUGUCACUUGGGGAUGGGCCUGCGGCGCAUUAGCUAGUUGGUGGGGUAACGGCUCACCAAGGCGACGAUGCGUAGCCGACCUGAGAGGGUGAUCGGCCACACUGGGACUGAGACACGGCCCAGACUCCUACGGGAGGCAGCAGUAGGGAAUCUUCCGCAAUGGGCGAAAGCCUGACGGAGCAAUGCCGCGUGAGUGAUGAAGGUUUUCGGAUCGUAAAGCUCUGUUGCCAGGGAAGAACGCUUGGGAGAGUAACUGCUCUCAAGGUGACGGUACCUGAGAAGAAAGCCCCGGCUAACUACGUGCCAGCAGCCGCGGUAAUACGUAGGGGGCAAGCGUUGUCCGGAAUUAUUGGGCGUAAAGCGCGCGCAGGCGGUCAUUUAAGUCUGGUGUUUAAUCCCGGGGCUCAACCCCGGAUCGCACUGGAAACUGGGUGACUUGAGUGCAGAAGAGAGAGUGGAAUUCCACGUGUAGCGGUGAAUGCGUAGAUAUGUGGAGGACACCAGUGGCGAAGCGA